rnacentral:rRNA from 1 species
GGGCCCGCACAAGCGGUGGAGUAUGUGGUUUAAUUCGAUGCAACGCGAAGAACCUUACCAGGGUUUGACAUCCUGCGAAUCUUUUGGAAACGAGAGAGUGCCUUCGGGAACGCAGUGACAGGUGGUGCAUGGCUGUCGUCAGCUCGUGUCGUGAGAUGUUGGGUUAAGUCCCGCAACGAGCGCAACCCACGUCUUUAGUUGCCAGCAGUUCGGCUGGGCACUCUAGGGAAACUGCCCGUGAUAAGCGGGAGGAAGGUGUGGAUGACGUCAAGUCCUCAUGGCCCUUACGGGUUGGGCUACACACGUGCUACAAUGGCAGUGACAAUGGGAUAAUCCCCAAAAACUGUCUCAGUUCGGAUUGUCGUCUGCAACUCGACGGCAUGAAGGUGGAAUCGCUAGUAAUCG